rnacentral:pre_miRNA from 1 species
AUUCUAAACUCUCGAGGGGACAUUCUCUCAUUGCUUGCAUGUCAUCCAAAUGUUUAUGAAAAAAUUAAAAAAAAUCAACUGGAUAGAUUAAUAUGUGAUAGAUAACUUCAUAAACAUGCAAGUUAAAAUUAAACUUCUACAAGUUGCAAAAAACUACAACUAAUCUAUCACAUAUUAAUCUAUUUUAUUAUUUUUUUAAAAAAAAUAUAACCAUUUAGAUGACAUGUGAAUGAUGAGGGGAUGUCCUCUAGAGCUUAGAAU